AUGAACGCUAGCUACAGGCUUAACACAUGCAAGUCGAGGGGAAACGACAUCGAAAGCUUGCUUUUGAUGGGCGUCGACCGGCGCACGGGUGAGUAACGCGUAUCCAACCUGCCCAUCACUUGGGAAUAACCUUGCGAAAGUAAGACUAAUACCCAAUGACGUCUCUAGAAGACAUCUGAAAGAGAUUAAAGAUUUAUCGGUGAUGGAUGGGGAUGCGUCUGAUUAGCUUGUUGGCGGGGUAACGGCCCACCAAGGCUACGAUCAGUAGGGGUUCUGAGAGGAAGGUCCCCCACAUUGGAACUGAGACACGGUCCAAACUCCUACGGGAGGCAGCAGUGAGGAAUAUUGGUCAAUGGACGAGAGUCUGAACCAGCCAAGUAGCGUGCAGGAUGACGGCCCUAUGGGUUGUAAACUGCUUUUAUAAGGGAAUAAAGUGAGUCUCGUGAGACUUUUUGCAUGUACCUUAUGAAUAAGGACCGGCUAAUUCCGUGCCAGCAGCCGCGGUAAUACGGAAGGUCCGGGCGUUAUCCGGAUUUAUUGGGUUUAAAGGGAGCGUAGGCCGGAGAUUAAGCGUGUUGUGAAAUGUAGAUGCUCAACAUCUGCACUGCAGCGCGAACUGGUUUCCUUGAGUACGCACAAAGUGGGCGGAAUUCGUGGUGUAGCGGUGAAAUGCUUAGAUAUCACGAAGAACUCCGAUUGCGAAGGCAGCUCACUGGAGCGCAACUGACGCUGAAGCUCGAAAGUGCGGGUAUCGAACAGGAUUAGAUACCCUGGUAGUCCGCACGGUAAACGAUGGAUGCCCGCUGUUGGUCUGAAUAGGUCAGCGGCCAAGCGAAAGCAUUAAGCAUCCCACCUGGGGAGUACGCCGGAAACGGUGAAACUCAAAGGAAUUGACGGGGGCCCGCACAAGCGGUGGAGUAUGUGGUUUAAUUCGACGCAACGCGAAGAACCUUACCAGGUCUUGACAUCCCCUGCAAAGACAUAGAGAUAUGUUGGAGGUUAUCAGGGAGACAGGUGGUGCAUGGUUGUCGUCAGCUCGUGCCGUGAGGUGUCGGCUUAAGUGCCAUAACGAGCGCAACCCCUCUCCUUAGUUGCCAUCAGGUGAAGCUGGGCACUCUGGGGACACUGCCACCGUAAGGUGUGAGGAAGGUGGGGAUGACGUCAAAUCAGCACGGCCCUUACGUCCGGGGCUACACACGUGUUACAAUGGCAGGUACAGAGAGAUGGUGUUCUGCAAAGCGCAUCUAAUCCUUAAAGCCUGUCUCAGUUCGGACUGGGGUCUGCAACCCGACCCCACGAAGCUGGAUUCGCUAGUAAUCGCGCAUCAGCCAUGGCGCGGUGAAUACGUUCCCGGGCCUUGUACACACCGCCCGUCAAGCCAUGAAAGCCGGGGGCGCCUAAAGUCCGUGACCGUAAGGAGCGGCCUAGGGCGAAACUGGUAAUUGGGGCU
rnacentral:rRNA from 1 species